rnacentral:rRNA from 1 species
UACGAAGGGGGCUAGCGUUGUUCGGAAUUACUGGGCGUAAAGCGCGCGCAGGCGGCUAUCCAAGUCAGUGGUGAAAGCCCGGAGCUCAACUCCGGAACUGCCAUUGAAACUGUUUAGCUGGAGUAUGAGAGAGGUGAGUGGAAAUUCCCAGUGUAGAGGUGAAAUUCGUAGAUAUUGGGAAGAACACCGGUGGCGAAGGCGGCUACACGUGGCUCAUUACUGACGCUCAUGCGCGCAGGCGUG